rnacentral:rRNA from 1 species
GGACUACUGGGGUAUCUAAUCCUGUUUGCUCCCCACGCUUUCGUGCAUGAGCGUCAGUGUUGGCCCAGGAGGCUGCCUUCGCCAUCGGUGUUCCUCCACAUCUCUACGCAUUUCACCGCUACACGUGGAAUUCCACCUCCCUCUGCCACACUCCAGCUCCAUAGUUUCGGACGCAAUUCCCAGGUUAAGCCCGGGGAUUUCACGCCCGACAUGCGGAGCCGCCUGCGCACCCUUUACGCCCAGUAAUUCCGAUUAACGCUCGCACCCUACGUAUUACCGCGGCUGCUGGCAC